GCCUUCUUAGCUCAGUGGUAGAGCGCGCCACUCGUAGUGCGACAUGGUGAGGUCGGUUGUUCAAUCCAGCCAGGAGGCA